ACCCUUCCCCUCUUGACAUCUUGCUCUUCUUCCCUUCAUCUAUUGUGUUAGUCAGGUGCAUGCUGGUCUUCCCUCUAUCAAACUGUAAGCUACUUGGAGACUUGGGAUGCCUCACUCAUCUCUAUUCCCAAACCUCAGGGUCUAUCAUUCUACCUUCUGUAUAGACAGGACUUUCAUAGUUUUGAACAAGUCAGAACCUGAAAGAAUUUGCUUCCAGAACAGGACAUUGACAGGAAAAUUAAGCAUGAUCAUGCCGAGUAAAAUAGGAAUAAGAAUUGGACCUACCUCAAGAUCUGUUGAGAAGAUUAUGAGAGAGCUGAUGGAUCUAAAAGAUUGGCGCUUGAUAGAAUUGGGAUCAUUUGUUUUGACUAGAACAAUCUCUUGCAGCUUGGAUGGAGAAACUUUACAGAGGUUUCAGCCAAACACUCAUGAAUUCUUUAAUGUGUGAAAUAAACCAGGAGCUAAAAUAAUAUCUAAGUUUCCUCUUUGCCUGACGCCAUCCAUGCAAAAUGUGACUUGCUUCUUCAGCAGCAGCAUGAAAACAAACUAAUACACCACUAUUCCUAGUUUGUACAACGAAAGGCUAAAAAUUUGGGAGAUGCAGGAUGACUGAAGCCCGAUUCUGGGGGUUGUUACAGCACAGUUACAGGGCCUUCCUCACACCCAUGUCUUCAGAUACCCAAGGCCUUUAAUACCCAAGUCCUUCCAGGAUUCUGCACAUCUCAUUAGCUUCAUAUUCCCCUUUUCCUCUGAGCGUCUUACUAGAAGGUCUGGAAUACGCAUGGAUGAGAUGCCGUCUUUCCUGACCAUACUUAAUAAUAAAGAUGCUGGGACUCAAGAGGAACUAAGCAGUGUAUAUUUUUCAUGUAUCCGCUUGAUGCAAUGAAUCUUUUGGCUUCAGAGCUACAUGUUGAAGAUGAAGGAGCCAUAGUGUGGAAAAGCCAAAGUUCCUGAAUCACUGACCAGGGGAGAGUUGCCCAUUAGCCAAGAAGACCGGCUUUAGACUUUCUGAGAAAAGGGUUUGCUGUCAAAAGGAAAAGCUCUGAGUCAUUCUUUAGAAAAGGUGAAGAGAGGAUAUGCAACCACAAGCCAAAGGUCUGAAUAGCCCUUGUGAAGGCAGCAUUUGAGAGAACUUCUCUGCCACAUGCUGAUUCCUCUCACCGCGGGAAGAAACCAACCUACCCUGGGGAGCCUGAGAGCUCUUUGAGUAUCUGGGGGUGAAUCAACUAAUCUGAUUAAUUGUUUUCAGAGUUAAAAAGGCUUAGUCCUGGAAAAGUCGAAGAGGUGAAAACCUGCCUGGGGAGGCUGCUGAAGGACGCCAGGAAGAAUUCUUAUCUCCAAAUUCAAUCCUGCCUCCCAGCUAGCUGCUGGUGUUUGAAAUUCCAACUCUGAAGUGGUAGUCUGGUAUCUUCUUUUAAAAUGUGGAAGAGAGUAAACAAAGUUAUUCACA